GGGUUGUGAGGUUAAGCGACUAAGCGUACACGGUGGAUGCCCUGGCAGUCAGAGGCGAUGAAGGACGUGCUAAUCUGCGAAAAGCGUCGGUAAGGUGAUAUGAACCGUUAUAACCGGCGAUGUCCGAAUGGGGAAACCCAGUGUGAUUCGUCACACUAUCGUUAACUGAAUACAUAGGUUAACGAGGCGAACCGGGGGAACUGAAACAUCUAAGUACCCCGAGGAAAAGAAAUCAACCGAGAUUCCCCCAGUAGCGGCGAGCGAACGGGGAGCAGCCCAGAGUCUGAAUCAGCUUGUGUGUUAGUGGAACGGUCUGGAAAGUCCGACGGUACAGGGUGAUAGUCCCGUACACCAAAAUGCACAGGCUGUGAACUCGAAGAGUAGGGCGGGACACGUGGUAUCCUGUCUGAAUAUGGGGACCAUCCUCCAAGGCUAAAUACUCCUGACUGACCGAUAGUGAACCAGUACCGUGAGGGAAAGGCGAAAAGAACCCCGGCGAGGGGAGUGAAAAAGAACCUGAAACCGUGUACGUACAAGCAGUGGGAGCACCUUCGGGUGUGACUGCGUACCUUUGUAUAAUGGGUCAGCGACUUAUAUUCUGUAGCAAGGUUAACCGUAUAGGGAGCCGCAGGGAAACCGAGUCUUAACUGGGCGUUAAGUUGCAGGGUAUAGACCCGAAACCCGGUGAUCUAGCCAUGGGCAGGUUGAAGGUUGGGUAACACUAACUGGAGGACCGAACCGACUAAUGUUGAAAAAUUAGCGGAUGACUUGUGGCUGGGGGUGAAAGGCCAAUCAAACCGGGAGAUAGCUGGUUCUCCCCGAAAGCUAUUUAGGUAGCGCCUCGUGAACUCAUCUUCGGGGGUAGAGCACUGUUUCGGCUAGGGGGUCAUCCCGACUUACCAACCCGAUGCAAACUACGAAUACCGAAGAAUGUUAUCACGGGAGACACACGGCGGGUGCUAACGUCCGUCGUGAAGAGGAAACAACCCAGACCGCCAGCUAAGGUCCCAAAGUCAUGGUUAAGUGGGAAACGAUGUGGGAAGGCACAGACAGCCAGGAUGUUGGCUUAGAAGCAGCCAUCAUUUAAAGAAAGCGUAAUAGCUCACUGGUCGAGUCGGCCUGCGCGGAAGAUGUAACGGGGCUAAACCAUGCACCGAAGCUGCGGCAGCGACACUAUGUGUUGUUGGGUAGGGGAGCGUUCUGUAAGCCUGCGAAGGUGACCUGUGAGGGUUGCUGGAGGUAUCAGAAGUGCGAAUGCUGACAUAAGUAACGAUAAAGCGGGUGAAAAGCCCGCUCGCCGGAAGACCAAGGGUUCCUGUCCAACGUUAAUCGGGGCAGGGUGAGUCGACCCCUAAGGCGAGGCCGAAAGGCGUAGUCGAUGGGAAACAGGUUAAUAUUCCUGUACUUGGUGUUACUGCGAAGGGGGGACGGAGAAGGCUAUGUUAGCCGGGCGACGGUUGUCCCGGUUUAAGCAUGUAGGCUGGUUAUCCAGGCAAAUCCGGAUAAUCAAGGCUGAGGUGUGAUGACGAGGCACUACGGUGCUGAAGUAACAAAUGCCCUGCUUCCAGGAAAAGCCUCUAAGCAUCAGGUAACAUCAAAUCGUACCCCAAACCGACACAGGUGGUCAGGUAGAGAAUACCAAGGCGCUUGAGAGAACUCGGGUGAAGGAACUAGGCAAAAUGGUGCCGUAACUUCGGGAGAAGGCACGCUGGUGUGUAGGUGAAGCCCCUGCGGGUGGAGCUGAGACCAGUCGAAGAUACCAGCUGGCUGCAACUGUUUAUUAAAAACACAGCACUGUGCAAACACGAAAGUGGACGUAUACGGUGUGACGCCUGCCCGGUGCCGGAAGGUUAAUUGAUGGGGUUAUCCGUAAGGAGAAGCUCUUGAUCGAAGCCCGGUAAACGGCGGCCGUAACUAUAACGGUCCUAAGGUAGCGAAAUUCCUUGUCGGGUAAGUUCCGACCUGCACGAAUGGCGUAAUGAUGGCCAGGCUGUCUCCACCCGAGACUCAGUGAAAUUGAACUCGCUGUGAAGAUGCAGUGUACCCGCGGCAAGACGGAAAGACCCCGUGAACCUUUACUAUAGCUUGACACUGAACAUUGAGCCUUGAUGUGUAGGAUAGGUGGGAGGCUUUGAAGCGUGGACGCCAGUCUGCGUGGAGCCAACCUUGAAAUACCACCCUUUAAUGUUUGAUGUUCUAACGUUGGCCCCUUACCGGGGUUGCGGACAGUGUCUGGUGGGUAGUUUGACUGGGGCGGUCUCCUCCCAAAGCGUAACGGAGGAGCACGAAGGUUAGCUAAUCCUGGUCGGACAUCAGGAGGUUAGUGCAAUGGCAUAAGCUAGCUUGACUGCGAGCGUGACGGCGCGAGCAGGUGCGCAGGUCAUAGUGAUCCGGUGGUUCUGAAUGGAAGGGCCAUCGCUCAACGGAUAAAAGGUACUCCGGGGAUAACAGGCUGAUACCGCCCAAGAGUUCAUAUCGACGGCGGUGUUUGGCACCUCGAUGUCGGCUCAUCACAUCCUGGGGCUGAAGUAGGUCCCAAGGGUAUGGCUGUUCGCCAUUUAAAGUGGUACGCGAGCUGGGUUUAGAACGUCGUGAGACAGUUCGGUCCCUAUCUGCCGUGGGCGCUGGAGAAUUGAGGGGGGCUGCUCCUAGUACGAGAGGACCGGAGUGGACGCAUCACUGGUGUUCGGGUUGUCAUGCCAAUGGCACUGCCCGGUAGCUAAAUGCGGAAGAGAUAAGUGCUGAAAGCAUCUAAGCACGAAACUUGCCCCGAGAUGAGUUCUCCCUGAGACUUUAAGUCUCCUGAAGGAACGUUGAAGACGACGACGUUGAUAGGCCGGGUGUGUAAGCGCAGCGAUGCGUUGAGCUAACCGGUACUAAUGAACCGUGAGGCUUAACCUUACAACGCCGAAG
rnacentral:rRNA from 1 species